rnacentral:rRNA from 1 species
GAUGAACGCUGGCGGCGUGCCUAAUACAUGCAAGUCGAGCGAACGGACGAGAAGCUUGCUUCUCUGAUGUUAGCGGCGGACGGGUGAGUAACACGUGGAUAACCUACCUAUAAGACUGGGAUAACUUCGGGAAACCGGAGCUAAUACCGGAUAAUAUUUUGAACCGCAUGGUUCAAAAGUGAAAGACGGUCUUGCUGUCACUUAUAGAUGGAUCCGCGCUGCAUUAGCUAGUUGGUAAGGUAACGGCUUACCAAGGCAACGAUGCAUAGCCGACCUGAGAGGGUGAUCGGCCACACUGGAACUGAGACACGGUCCAGACUCCUACGGGAGGCAGCAGUAGGGAAUCUUCCGCAAAGGGCGAAAGCCUGACGGAGCAACGCCGCGUGAGUGAUGAAGGUCUUCGGAUCGUAAAACCCUGCUAUUAGGGAAGAACAUAUGUGUAAGUAACUGUGCACAUCUUGACGGUACCUAAUCAGAAAGCCACGGCUAACUACGUG